CCCAGCAGUAGGCAGCUGCCUUGGCUGCCUUGUACCUAGGCAAGUGUUACACUGCUGGGAGAAAAGCAGCCAAUAGCUGGUGGGUAUUCUGGGCCUGGUUAAUGUCAAAUUCGUGUUAGAUAUACCAGUAUACCAGCAUAGUUGGUUGCUUAUUCUCUCUCAUUUUUAAAAUACAUGUGAGGAAGACU
rnacentral:snoRNA from 1 species